GCAGUUUUUCAUUGUCAAGUCCAAACUGGACUGCUUUUGCUGAAAGUUUCUCAUGAUCACAACUCAGAGCCUCCAAUCUUUCAGAGAGGUUGUCCCUCUCAUGGAUAAAUGCUUUAAUAUCCAUCUCAUAGUUAGAUAAUCUCUUUUGGGAAUCCUCCAAUUCAGCAUUUAAGCAAGAUAUUCUCUUUUGAGACUGUUCCAAAUCUGUAGUUAGGGAUCCACAAUAUUUUUCAAGUUCAUCAAUGUUCAGUAGCAGAGAAUUUCUAUCAUUAUUAGCCUCUGAAAGCGCAUUUCCUAACCACUGAAUCCUA
rnacentral:misc_RNA from 1 species